rnacentral:rRNA from 1 species
AUUGAACGCUGGCGGCAGGCCUAACACAUGCAAGUCGAGCGGAGUGGCGGACGGGUGAGUAAUGCCUCGGAAUCUGCCUGGUAGUGGGGGAUAACGUCCCGAAACGGGCGCUAAUACCGCAUACUAUCAGAUGAGCCUAGGUCGGAUUAGCUAGUUGGUGGGGUAACGGCCUACCAAGGCGACGAUCCGUACCUGGUCUGAGAGGAUGACCAGUCACACGGGAACUGAGACACGGUCCAGACUCCUACGGGAGGCAGCAGUGGGGAAUAUUGGACAAUGGGCGAAAGCCUGAUCCAGCCAUGCCGCGUGUGUGAAGAAGGCCUUCGGGUUGUAAAGUACUUUCGGCAGGGAGGCGGUACCCGCAGAAGAAGCACCGGCUAACUCCGUGCCAGCAGCCGCGGUAAUAC